rnacentral:rRNA from 1 species
CGGCGAGUGAAGCGGCAACAGCUCAAAUUUGAAAUCUGGCCUCUUGGGGGUCCGAGUUGUAAUUUGUAGAGGAUGUUUCGGGUACCGCCUCGGUUUAAAUUUCUUGGAACAGAAUGUCAGAGAGGGUGAGAAUCCCGUCUUGGACCGGCGGUAGGGCCCAUGUGAAACUCCUUCGACGAGUCGAGUUGUUUGGGAAUGCAGCUCAAAAUGGGUGGUAAAUUUCAUCUAAAGCUAAAUAUUGGCCAGAGACCGAUAGCGCACAAGUAGAGUGAUCGAAAGAUGAAAAGAACUUUGAAAAGAGAGUUAAACAGUAUGUGAAAUUGUUGAAAGGGAAGCGCUUGCAACCAGACUUGAGCGCGGCGGUUCCCCCUUCCUUUUGGUUGGGUUACUCCGCCGUGUCCAGGCCAACAUCGGUUCUGGGGGUCGGUUAAAGGCCCGGGGAAUGUAUCUACUCCUCCGGGGGUAGACUUAUAGCCCCGGGUGUCAUGCGACCACCCGGGACCGAGGAACGCGCUUCGGCUCGGAUGUUGGCGUAAUGGUUGUCAGCGACCCGUCUUGAAACACGGACCAAGGAGUCUAACAUCUAUG